GACGAACGCUGGCGGCGUGCUUAACACAUGCAAGUCGAACGGAAAGGCCCUGCUUUUGUGGGGUGCUCGAGUGGCGAACGGGUGAGUAACACGUGAGUAACCUGCCCUUGACUUUGGGAUAACUUCAGGAAACUGGGGCUAAUACCGGAUAGGAGCUCCUGCUGCAUGGUGGGGGUUGGAUAGUUGCGGCGGUUGGGGAUGGACUCGCGGCUAAUCAGCUUGUUGGUGGGGUAGUGGCUUACCAAGGCUUUGACGGGUAGCCGGCCUGAGAGGGUGAGCGGCCACAUUGGGACUGAGAUCCGGCCCAGACUCCAACGGGAGGCAGGAGUGGGGAAUAUGGCACAAUGGGCGGAGGCCUGAGGCAGAAGCGCCGCGUGCGGGAGGUCGGCCUUCGGGUUGUAAGCCGCUUUCGCCUGUGACGAAGCGUGAGGAAGGGAAAUGGGUAAAGAAGCACCGGCUAACUACGU
rnacentral:rRNA from 1 species